UUCCGAAGUUGAACCUCCUUAUGAUAUUCAGAGGAAGGGCAAUAUACCAUUCUGUUAAAACUGGGCGGCAUAAAAACAAUGAAAGAAGAACUAGGCAGCAUUUUAGCGAAGAGGAGAAGACUUAGAAAGAAGAAUCGAAGGUAAAAAAAAAUUCGCCAGUAUUUCACUGCUAUUUGGACGCUGAAGAAGAAUAAGAAGAAGAAGAAGAAGGAGGAGGAAGAAAUCAUCACAUACCUGUUGCCACUGAAUCUCUGUUGAAGUUGAAAAGGGAACGCUAGUCGCUGUUGCUGCUGGUCGUGUUUUAAUAAAAGUGCAAAGAUCCCUUCUUUUUUAAUUAAAUAGGCUGGCAGCUUCACUCGCUUCGCUGCUACACCAACAGAUUCAACGACCUCUAUAUUCUUUCUCUGGUAGCUAAUUUGCGAGCAGCACCCUGAGAAAAAAUAAGAAGGCAAAGGUUUGAUGAUGUCCAAGAGAGGAAAGACAUAAAUGUACCAAAAGCUAGUAUUCUCGUGUAAUCUUCAGAUAUUUUCUGAAUAAAAUAAAAAAAAUAGAUUUUUCGACCAACUCUAUGUCUGUUCUUCUAGCUAUUUGUGAUCUUUCCAUAUCCUUUAUACAUUCUGAUAUCAGUUAGCUUGGUAUAAUUGUCUUCUUAAGGUUGAUUACUCUUUUCUACAAUAUUCAAACCUUACUAUUUCUAUUUUAAGACAAAUAAUUGUAAGAUCAUGCCCCAUUAUAUUAACAAUUUAAAUUAAUUAAAACUGCAGAGAUCAUAUAAAGGAACUCAUGAGAAUCUUGAACCAAAUGAUUCAAUUGAUAUAGACAUUAAGGAUAAAAAAAGAAGAGAACAUAAUCACUUUGUGAGGUCACUGGUCAAAGAGUGAACAUUG
rnacentral:lncRNA from 1 species